rnacentral:rRNA from 1 species
AGCGAACGCUGGCGGCAGGCCUAACACAUGCAAGUCGAACGAACUCUUCGGAGUUAGUGGCGGACGGGUGAGUAACACGUUGGAACGUGCCUUUUGGUUCGGAAUAACUCAGGGAAACUUGUGCUAAUACCGAAUGUGCCCUUCGGGGGAAAGAUUUAUCGCCAUUAGAGCGGCCCGCGUCUGAUUAGCUAGUUGGUGAGGUAACGGCUCACCAAGGCGACGAUCAGUAGCUGGUCUGAGAGGAUGACCAGCCACACUGGGACUGAGACACGGCCCAGACUCCUACGGGAGGCAGCAGUGGGGAAUCUUGCGCAAUGGGCGAAAGCCUGACGCAGCCAUGCCGCGUGAAUGAUGAAGGUCUUAGGAUUGUAAAAUUCUUUCACCGGGGACGAUAAUGACGGUACCCGGAGAAGAAGCCCCGGCUAACUUCGUG